rnacentral:rRNA from 1 species
UACGGGGGGGGCAAGCGUUGUUCGGAAUUACUGGGCGUAAAGAGCGUGUAGGCGGCUUUACAGGUCCGUUGUGAAAACUCGAGGCUCAACCUCGAGACGCCGGUGGAAACCGUAAAGCUAGAGUCCGGAAGAGGAGAGUGGAAUUCCUGGUGUAGCGGUGAAAUGCGCAGAUAUCAGGAAGAACACCCGUGGCGAAGGCGGCUCUCUGGGACGGUACUGACGCUGAGACGCGAAAGCGUGGGGAGCGAACAGG